rnacentral:tRNA from 1 species
GGUUGUGGCUAAGAGGUAGAGCGCCUGCCUCAAAUGCAUAGGGCACUGAGUUCGAUCCUCAGUACCA